GCGGCCGUGCCAGCAGAAGGCCCGGGCAGCCGCAGGUGUUUUCGCGUCUGCGUUCGGCGCUGCGGGCCGAGCUGCCCUGCGGUGGGAGCUCCCGCGGAGCCCCGGGCGGGGAGCAGCCGGCGGUGCCGCGAGGUGAAGGGCAGCGAAGCGGAGCGGCACCGCGAGCCGUGCGGGAAGCAUCGCGCCGUUCCGACAGAGCCGCGCUGCGGGAGCCGCGCGUGCCGUGCGAGCUGCAAAGCAAACACGGAUCGUUUCUGUGCGCGGCUGCGGCGGAGCGCUGCCGCCGGGAUCCGAGCAGGCGGGGCCGCUUGCAAAAGGCGGCCGCUCCCGUAACGGCGGCCGCGGGGAGAAACGAAAUGCGGGAUUCUGCCUUCCAUCCUCGCGCUUUGCAUGCAAAUAUUUCGCUUCCUUUGUCACUUUCUAAUUACGCAGACUUUUCUCUCAGUCUUCUCCUAAACGUUGUGCCGUUGCUCAUGAGCUGCAGAGCCGCCUCCAGGCUGAGCACAGCGCUGCUCCUGCUGCUCCGGGCCGGCCGUGCUGUGCUGCUCUCAGCUGGGAGCGACCGCUCCUUUCCGGCCCCAGAGUGUAUCAAAACUUGGAAAAUCGAUAUUACUCGAACACUGAUCAGCAAAGCAGCAUUAAUUUACUGGCAUCCUUUAAAGAAGAUGUAGAAAUGUGGAAGAAGAAAUGUAAUGCCUGUCGAAGGGGGAAGGCUGGCCGAUGAUGCCAUCGGCGCUGUGACCACGUGUGCCAGAUCAGCAAGUUGGAUGUCUCAGGUUUUGAGAAAAGCCUCCUGGGUCCUUUGAGCGCAGACUGAGAGCCAGACAGCCUGUCCCCAAGGCUCCCUGUUCUGUCUCUGAAGGUCCCUUUGGGCUGAGAAAUUGUUUCCAAAGAUCUCCACAGAAUGCCUCGACAGUAAGUAUUUAUUUAUAUGUUACAUUUAAAUAUAAUUGAGCAAUAAAGAGAAUAGUCUGCUCUUGACAAAAAUAAGUUAAUACACAAUAUUCAUAAAAUACAACUAGACAGAACAUUGUAACAAAUACAACAAAUUUUGCAGAUAUUUUUUAAAUAGAUUUGUAUAGUACAUUCCCAACAAAGAAAAAUAGUGCAGUUUUAUUUCUUACAUCAUUUCCUCAGGCUCUGUAUAUUGGAGGGCUUUUUUGCUCAUUUUUUUUUAGUACUUCAGACACUCUUCAGACAACAGGCAGGCACAAACUGAAGCGUUUUCAGACCUUUCAGCAGCCAUGCUCUGCCCUGUGAGAAGCGUGACGUGCAGCUGUAAUGGUGAGGUCAGACUGUGAGCAUGCCUGCAGUACAACUUCUUGGCUUCUCAUCCUGAGUGCACUCUAACUGCUGGACGUGUGGUGGGUGAGGAGUACAGCUUAUCAAUCACAGCUUUCCUCCUCCUCCCAUUCCCACUGUUAUUACUUUAGCACGUUAUGCACAGGGAGGGGGUUUCCUUCUAACUCUCCUCCUCUGCACCUUUUUUCAGAGUUCUGUAGGCUCAUCUGUUCUCACUUCUGUGCUGUGACUGAGUGUGCAGAGCUGCAGGUUGGUUCUGCUGCAGUGAGGGGGGACCCACACGGUGCUGCCUGCACUGCUGGUGUCACAGUCUGGCUUUGGGGCAGCACCUGAGUGACACCUGGCAGUGUGGAAAUGAGGGCAGAGACAAACUGGUGUUUUACUUUACCCUCCCAUCGAAUGUUCAGAGACCACUUUAAGCGCUCGAUUAUUAGUUAAAAAGCAUGCUGCCUGUUUUUUUUAAUGCCUCCUUUUGGAAUAGUAUUUGUUAUUUUUAUUUUACUUCAGUCAUAAAAAGAGAACUAAGCACAGAUGACACUUGUAGAAUCAAAUCUUCCUCUUGCUUGUGCGAGCAACGUUCAGCUCAGUAGGACCUAAAGGCAUUACACAUCUAUUGCAAAAGCAGGAGGAACUGCUCACUACUUGUGUGGUAAUAGGAGGGGAGUCACAGGGCUGAAGUCUUUGGACAGAGUAAUUUGAUUCCCUACGCCUGUUUUACUAAAAUCUGAUUUUAGAAGCUCAUCUGAGUUGACAGCUGCUUUUGAUGACAGCCUGGGAGGCUCAAUGGAAACAAAGCUGUGUAACCCAGCCUGCUCUGAAUGAUGUUUUAAAAAGGGAAAAAAUUCAAACUUUAUCACUGAGAUUCAGUAGCAAAGGCAGGAAUACUUAAAAUGGAGACACUGAGUUUUCUGGGAGCACAGGUCACACCAAUCCAUGAAAUCUACAGCUAAUCCCAUUAGUAAAAAGCUGCUCCCUUCCUCUCUCUGGCUGACACAGAGAUACACCUAAAUACAACACAUGCUGGGAAAGCAGUAAGAGUACAGGUGAUAAAUUUUAUAUAGUGUGAUGAAGUGCUAGGACAGCAACAGACAGCUCCACAGCUGAGCCCCAGCCAAGUCACUUUUGCUCUCUAUAGAAGAUGGGUUAAAAUACACACUGCUACUGGAAGCAUGCAGCCAAGCACAAACAGAAGAGGCACAGAACUGCCACAGUGUGUGCAGGGGCAGCUCUACAAACCAGCACAGCAUGACAGUAAAAUGGAUCCUGUGCAACAAUUUCUACUGCUUAAUCUGGCAAGUACCAAGACUUGCAUGAGUUAACAAAUGCCUGGUUUGUGUUUGCAGGAUCCCAAGGGAAGUCCUCCCAGAGCAGGGGGGAGGAGGAGGUCAGUAGUCUGCAGUAAAUGAACAGGAGGAGGCGAGGCUGUGCAGUGUCUGCUCUGUAAGUAGGACCUGAACUUUAUGGGACUCUGCACAGACGCAAAGAGCGUGGGAUUUGCUAACAUGAGCAAGGAAACUGUUUCUAUGUGCUUAAGCUGUGUUAACCUGAGCUAUAUUAGGCAGAUUUGUCAUCUGGGAGUACUUGCCAAGUAAGUUUGCAAAGUAAAAUAAGGGCAAGUUUGUGGCAUAUGUAGGCCAUGAACACUCACCAGCAUGAGCGAGGCAGCAAAGGCUAACCAAUGUUUCUAGCCAGCACUGCCAGGUCUUCACUGCUCAUCUUUAACCCUGUUACUUACUGUAAGGCUAUUCUCCCAGUUGUUAAUCUUAUUUUACUUGCUAAGUAUUCUGAAUGUAAGUAUGAAUGUUUUAGCAACAGGAUCUACAUAUGCAUUUCUCUUUCAUGUUCAAGAGAGAGUCUGUGAACUGAGCCCACAAAUGUGCUCUUCCAUGGACCCAGAUCAGUGCUUGCCCCACUUCUAGCAGAUCAGGCCUUACCUCUUCAAAAAAUUCUGGCAGAGCACAAAAGGUGCAGUAAGUCAAAAUAUAAAUGUUCUAAUAUGUCAAAUACCCCCUUUUUAGUAUCUCAGUUAUGUAAGGAGACAGUCUUCUAGAGAGAGAGAAAUAAGAGAAUGCAAAAAGAUUCUGUUCUGAAAUACAAAGUUGAGUGUAACAAGGACUAUUAAACACAAACUCCCUCUGGUGAAGGAAAAGUUCAUUUUUAAAAGUAUUACAAAUCUGGUUAUUUAUUACAUUACAUGGAAGAUGCAAUUAAAACACCAUUUUGAAGUUACAGUGCAAGAAAUGCUCCAUCCAGUAGCUCACAGCAAGGCCCACAAUGAUCACUUAUUUUCAAUCAAUGUCUGCACUUUGUAGACAAGGUCUCUUGCUAUCCUCAGUAUUUCCUGGGCAUUGUGAUGUUCUGCCAUUUC